CCAACACGAACAUUUGAUCACGAUGAACAUGCAUUUCAUCGACAUAUUUGAACUAUCAUCUGUUUCUCUCCUUCUCUCCUCCUCCAGUGUGUAGCUUAUCUCUCGGAAUGGAAAGUCGCGCCAUAUCCGAUGCUCAAAUAUCUGCUUCAUCUCAGUGGGAUGCCAGCCACGCAGCCAUUCAGGGACGACUGAUUUUUCAAGCGGGAGGGGGAAAGGAAGGAGGAUGGUCUGCCAGAGCAAACAAUCAGAACCAGUGGCUUCAAGCGGAUCUCGGCAGCGUGAAAAAAGUGACACAUCUUGCAACGCAAGGAAGAAAUGCAGCAUCCCAGUGGGUAAAAAGCUACAUGGUAGAAUACAGCGACGAUGGUUCGACUUUUCAUGUUUACAAAGAGCAAGGCACCAAUUUCGACAGAAUUUUUUCUGCGAACAACGACCGAGAUACGAUCGUGUACAACUUUCUUAGCUCACCCAUAAUGGCUCGGUUUGUCAGAUUCAUCCUCGGACCUAUCAUGGCCAUAUUUCGAUGAGGAUGGAGAUUUACGGAUGUUAAGAGCAACAGUGUAAGAGGUUGGAUAUUAUGUGGUGGCUCCAACUUAAGAUAUAGUAGUCAGUAAAAGAAGAUGAAGAGCCUCUCAGGAUUUACUUGUUCCGUUCAAAAGGUA
rnacentral:misc_RNA from 1 species